AUUGAACGCUGGCGGCAGGCCUAACACAUGCAAGUCGAGCGGAUGAAAGGGGCUUGCUCCUGGAUUCAGCGGCGGACGGGUGAGUAAUGCGCAGGAAUCUACCUAGUAGUGGGGGAUAACGUUUCGAAAGGAACGCUAAUACCGCAUACGUUCUGAGGAAGAAAGCAGGGGAUCGUAAGACCUUGCGCUAUUAGAUGAGCUUGCGUCCGAUUAGCUAGUUGGUGGGGUAAAGGCCUACCAAGGCGACGAUCGGUAACUGGUCUGAGAGGAUGAUCAGUCACACUGGAACUGAGACACGGUCCAGACUCCUACGGGAGGCAGCAGUGGGGAAUAUUGGACAAUGGGGGCAACCCUGAUCCAGCCAUGCCGCGUGUGUGAAGAAGGCCUCGGUUGUAA
rnacentral:rRNA from 1 species